rnacentral:RNase_P_RNA from 1 species
CCAGGGGACCGGGCGACCGCGGCUCAUUUCGAUGAGGCGAGGAAAGUCCGGGCUCCACGGAACGACGGUGCCGGGUAACACCCGGCGGGGCGGUUCGCCGCUUCAGGGACAGUGCCACAGAAAGCAUACCGCCCGGCUUCGGCCGGGUAAGGUCGAAAGGGUGCGGCAAGAGCGCACCGCGGAGGCGGCAACGGCUCCGGCGCGGUAAACCCCACCGGGUGCAAGACCGAAUAGGGGCGCCACAUGGGCCUGUUCCGGCCCGGCGCCCGGGUUGGUUGCUUGAGGCGAAGGGUAACCUUCGUCCUAGAGGAAUGGUCGCCCAGUCCCGCAAGGGAUGGACAGAACCCGGCUUACAGGUCCCCUGGCAUU